rnacentral:sRNA from 1 species
UCCAGCAGCCGCGGUAAUACGGAGGGUGCGAGCGUUGUCCGGAAUCACUGGGCGUAAAGGGCGCGUAGGCGGCCCCUCAAGCGUGUGGUGAAAGCCCGGGGCUCAACCCCGGGUCGGCCGUGCGGACUGGGGGGCUCGAGCACUGUAGGGGCGGGUGGAAUUCCGGGUGUAGCGGUGGAAUGCGUAGAGAUCCGGAAGAACACCGGUGGCGAAGGCGGCCCGCUGGGCAGGAAGGGGGAGCGAUCCCCCGGCUGACGCUGAGGCGCGACAGCGUGGGGAGCAAACAGGAUUAGAUACCCUGGUAGUCCACGCCGUAAACGAUGGGCACUAUGUGCUUGGGGGAGCGACCCCCUGGGU